AGCAGAAGUAGCUUCAGUUGUCAGGAAUUGAAUGUAUUUGACUUUCCUUCUCCUGAAGAAUAUGUAGGUUAACAAUUUUGUAUUCUGCGUGCUUCAUGGUCCUACAUGCUCAGAGUUGUGACUCCCAUGAAAAUUCCAGAGAGAAUGAAAAGGCUCCUGUCAGUAACUUCCUUCUCAGCCAUCGCUACAUGAACUCCACACACAGGACCUUUCCUGUCCCAGUCUGAAGAGUCCAGUGCCUUCACUGGAUACAGCCUCAGAUGACCAUCUGUACUUUCAGGCCUUUGGUUCCUGCUGUUCACAGAAAGCUGCAGAUGGCUGCCUCAGCAGGAAGCCCUUCCCCCUUCCUUAAUGGAACUCGUGGGAAUGCGGGGAUCCUGGAACCAAAGCCCUCCUUCCCUUCCAAACCUCCUCUCCAAACCCCUUCUGAGUAAAAGGAAAA